GACAGGAGUGAUCUUAGGGGGGAAAUGCUGUGAAUCUUUUGUUUGCGGAUCAGCUCUGCAAGCAGACAACGUAAACAGCUGUGCAUUCACUUAUUAUACGAUGAAGUACAUGCCAUUUUAGCCUGGAUAAAAGAGGGAAUAUUAUUAUCCUGAAGGAACGGUGAUAGCUAUAACCAGGGAGGAAUCAGCGGAUUUGCUUUGGUACCGCUCCCGCCGGGAUGUCAGGGAGUACUGUGACAAGAUGGGUGAUCUCAGACGACGGCAGCCACCUGAUUCGCAGAGAGGAAGUGGAGGCAGCAAUUCCUAAAGGUGUGGAAUCCCAGAUGGUACAAGUAAAGGAAGAGAAUUUUGACCGACCUGUCACUAAUAUAUCAACAUCAUCGUCAUUGUCAACCAAUAAAAAAAAUGCUGUGCCUGCUCAGCUGCCAGUUUCAUACCCUUGUGCGUACUGUGACAUCUGCUUCACGGCUUCCCAUUACCUGGAGAAACAUGUCAAGCGUUCACACAGGAAGCAAUACUUAGAAAUGCUGCGGAGUCGAAACAUCACGUUCAGCAAAACUCCUGCCUCGACUUCGGCCACUUUAAUCAAAACCCCUGCCUCUACUUCAGCUACUUUCAGCAAAGCCCCUAUAUCCACUGCAGCUAGUUUCAACAAAGCCCCUAUAUCCACUGCAGCUAGUUUCAACAAAGCCCCUAUAUCCACUGCAGCUACUUUCAGCAAAACCCCUGCCUCCACUGCAGCUACUUUAAGCAAAACCCCUGCCUCCCCCCCAGCUACUGUCAGCAAAACCCCUGCCUCCCCCCCAGCUACUGUCAGCAAAGCCUCUGCCUCCCCCCCAGCUACUUUCAGCAAAGCCCCUGCCUCCACUGAAGCUAUUUUCAGCAGAGCCUCCUCUUCCCCCCCAGCUACUUGCAGUAAGGCUCCCACCUCCCCGUUGGGCCCCUCUGGACCUUCUUCCUCACAAGCAGCCCCUCUCACCUCACCCAAGAGCAUCCACUCCUCUGCUAAGGAUGAGUCUGCUUCUACCAGUCACUCAGUAGAGGCUCAGGCCUCUGACUGCUCUGCAGGUUCCACUGUCAUUGGUCUCUCUCCCGUGACAUCUGAAAGAACCCCUGACCCUGCUCCUUUGCCUCCUGCCCCUAACCCCGUGAGGCCUUCUGCCUCAGCGCCAUCUUCUGGCCCAAUCCAGAUAGCGGUAAAGCCCAUUCCAAAGGAAGCCUCAAUGCAAGACCUUCCCCAGCCGCUCUGUCCCCCUUCAAACGCUGAAGAAGUGAAGAGAAGAGCCCAGAAAAAUGUUCUGCCAUCUUGCGCUCGCUGUGGGGGGAGGAGAGACGGGCGGGCUGAAGGAGAGGGGGAGAAGGAAUGCUGCUGUGAGGAAGGCACACUGUUUCUUUGCAAUGAAUGUGGGCAGAGUUUUCCUUCUUUCCCCUCCCUUAGCUUCCACCAGGACCAAGCCCACUGGGGUAAAAGGCAGGGCAGAGGUGAGGAGGAGGGAGAGACCCUGUAUCUGUGCACUGAGUGUGGUCUCAGCUUCCCCUGCCUGGAGCUACUGGGCCAUCACCAGUCCCUCCAUGACUCGCCGGGAGCCAAGGACCAAGAGGAGGGAACAGAAGAGGAGGAGAAAGACGAGGAUGACGACUCCCUGCCUUUCACCUCCCAGGCGCACUCCUGCCCGAACUGUCAGAAGAUCUUCAAAACCGCGCGCUAUCUGAAAACCCACAUGAAGAUCCACAGCGGCCAGGUGCCUUACCACUGCGACCAGUGCGACAAGCCCUUCACCCAGCUGGGCGACCUGAAGACGCACCGCCGCACCCACACCGGCGAGCGGCCGUACCAGUGCUCCCAGUGCGGCAAGUGCUUCGGCCGCUCGGGGACCCUGAAGAAGCACUGGCGCACCCACACGGGGGAGACGCCCUACGUGUGCGCGGCGUGCGGGAAGCAGUUCAACCAGCUGGGGGCGCUGAAGACUCACGAAAGGAUCCACACUGGACAGCGGCCUUACUUCUGCACCCGCUGCUCGCAGCAUUUCACCUACUCCUACCAGCUCAAGAGACAUCGCUGUGUGCACAGUGACAAGAGUCGAGCUGCCUCAGAGUGAUUGCACUUUAAAGGGGCGAUGCUGAUGUUCGAGGGGUGGAUCUCCUCAGAGGACAACGCUGGCCCCCGUCAACUCGAAACGCUGACGUGCUGAGGCACACGGAAGGCUAACACCCGCGAUGCUGCUUGGAGAGACUGAAAGACUGGGAGCAGUAGUGAGCGUUGCACUGGAGAGUGAGCAUGAUAGGGAAGCUGUAGGAACGCUAAUAUACUGACAUGGAAACAUGAGCGUGAUGCUGACGUACUUCCGGGAUACAAUAAAUGAUACUGAGUGAGGUGCUACCCUUCCCUCCACUGUGAACAGCACUCUUCCCAAUCACACAUGCUCAGUAUGCAGGCUUGCUACUGCUCUUAUACGGGGCUGGUUAUCCCCUCUAAGGGGAAAUUGAUUCCCGUGGAGGUGGAUUGUACAGUAGAUACAGUAAAGAGUGAGAGAUAUGGAUGUGCAACAACCUAUCAUUGCUGGGAAACUGAGAAACACUGCCCCCCCUUUGCCCCCUUGUACCUGUAAUGUCCCUAAGUGACAGUAAAAAUGCUGCCAAAUAUUUGUCACCAAGCAUUCCCUUUAUAGCUCAUCCUCUUAGAGUUUGGUCUGUAUGAAUGUCUCUUUUCCUCCCUUGUCUUAGAAACCUGCACAUUACAGUUCAAGAAAAUUCUGUCCCUGGUUGUAAUGCCAUAAAAAUGCUUUCAUCUACCAGCUUGUACUAUUGAGUGAACGCUGAACAGAGCUCCUUGGCUAUGGAAUGUUACUAUUGGCAACUUCUGAUUGCCAUUAUUAUAAUCUUAUAAGAUCAUAAACUUAAGUCUGAAAAUGUAAGAGGUGGCUCUUUCAAAUACCUCAUUCGCAGCCAUUCAGCUGUCAAAGUUUUGUUUAUGCUGUACUCGCCUCUUUUGAAAAACUAUAAAUGACCCUGUUAAUCUCUGGGUGUUUCAUAAUUAAAACACAGAGGUCUGUUGUCGAAUCUUGUGUUAUCAUCAGCUGAGAUACACCCAAGCUGUGCAUUCACAGGGACAAUUGAUUCUGUUAUUUCCUGGUUUCUGCAUCCCAAGCCGCCCCCCCCCACCCCCAAAAUAAAUCAUCUUUGUGACCUAUUGCAGUUUGGCAGUGUUGUGAUACGGCCUUACUAAAAGCAGUGGUCGGCAUUCUAGGUGAUCACAUGACAGCAUUACAUUGCUGGUACUUCAGCCAUUCCCCUUUUUCUGGAAUAUCUAGCAUUAGAGAGUUGUUGUUUUCCCAGAAUACAGAGCAUUCACAGACUUCGGUAUUUCCAGUACUGUUAGAAAUCAUCUUUAGUGCUUUGGGACCACUUGACAAGCAGCCUAGGUAUGAUAAAUGACUGCAAUACAAUAGGUUUGCGAGAGCCGUUUCCAACCCGUGCUUUUCAGCAAGUCAGAAAAUGAAAUGAACGACGCCGUCGUAGCAGCGCUUUGCAUAAACGCUAAUUACCAUGCUGUAGUGUUAGUUAUUUGCGUAUGCAAACUGGUAUGUGUGAGCGGUGCGUUGUGUGUAUUGUCUGUGUGAACAGUGUGUGCAUUGUUUGCAUGUGUGAAGGCCUGGGGAGAUGAGUUGCCUUGGUUGCGUCUCCACCCUGGGACUGAGAGACACAAGCAGACGUAAGAGAGGGAGGGAAGUGCGUUAGAUAAAGUAAUGAGGCAUAGCGUGAGGACAGUUGCCACAGAGAACUGGAGGGAGCCAAGAGACGAGAGAUUUUAACCUCCCGGCAUGGACACACAGACUGCUUACCUGUUGGCCAUCAGCUUCUACCUGACAUUGCCCUCCAGCCAGUCACAGAGCACACAGGAAGCAUGGAAGCAUGCUCGGCCACCAUUGGUCCGAACAGAUCAAGGGGCCGGACCACCAGCCUCCCUCACUAUACAGGAUCGCUAUGAAGAGGAGGAAGGCACCUACAUUAUUCCACAGAAGUCAUAUGCUCACCUGGGAAAGGAUAGCAAACUGAGCAUCUUCAUAGCUGCUGCCGUGGGAACCAUGACUCUGAUGGGCGUGGUCUACUGCAUCUACAGCCAGUUUUACAGCAAGAAACUCUUCUCUCACACACAGCUAGAGGAUGAUACAGAGCUAAUGCUAGACCUUCCAGAGUCUUCUUCCUCCUACUUCUCCAGCUAUCCUGCAAUGAUGGAUGGAGAGAAAAAGACAAGCCAGGCCGGUUAUGGCUCUAUCUCUGACCCCCCCUCCAUUAUCAACAUACCGCCUGCCCUCCAGUCCACUCCUCCCUUAGCUGCACCAUUCAAUCCCUUCUCCCUAUCCACCUCUACUCCUCUUCAAACCAUCUCUGCUCAGAAUCUGGAGAGGAGCUUUGUCUGAUGUAUGACAGAACUCACAGCAAUAUAGAACACUAGGCACUACAGUACACUUGGAACAUUUUGUUUUAAUCAUUACCACAUAUGUAAUUGAAAAAUAACAAAAACUUGUACAGGGUCAGCUGAUUGAUUAUGUAAUUAGUUCAUAGUAUACACUUACUUUACAUGUGUGUUUUUUGUAUUUUUAAGAUACAAAUCUGCACCUGACAUGUCCUGCGGUUGUUCCAUUGUUGUUUAUAAAAGUACUUGCUGGCCCGUGUAAUUAUCUACUUUAAUUCUAACUUCUUGUUUUGUAUAACAAAUAUCAAUGUUUGUACAUUUGUAGUUUUGUUCUCUUUAUUUUGACGGAAUAAAUAUUGCUUAGGCCCUAUGUACAGACACGUUGCUUGAACGCUAGAUGGCGGUGUGCAUGUGUCUAGUGCCUGUGCUCGUGUCUGAUCGCGCGUCUUCUUAGGGCAUAACAAAUGUGUAGCCGUCAUCAUUACCGCUACCGUCGUUAUCAUAAUGAUCAGAAACAAUAUUUUGGCGGUUGAGAUCAGCAUGACAUGAAGUUUUAAGAGAGAAUUGCAAUUCUUGUCCGUAUAAUAUGAAUGAUAUCUAUCGGCAUUCUGACAGGAUGGCUGCCAAUGAAUGAGAGCCAGCGCGAGCCAACCGUGUUUCAGAACCACGGAUAGCAGCACCAAUCGCUGAGAACAGAUUGACAGCGAGGGAAAGAGAAUAUGUGGCCAUUUGAGUUCCGUGGAAAUUGUUUAAAACAUUUUUACCACCCAACGGCGAGUUCAAUUAACUGCAUUUAACUGGCCAAUAAUGAGCUAAUACAGCACAGUCCCUUCUAAUCUCAAUAGGUAGGCUUUUCAAUUCAAACAAAAAAGUAGUAGGCCUACCCAUGUUUGUCUAACCUGACUUAAUUGACAUCUGACCUCAUUUAACUUUUCAGACAGACCAUGGGCUUCGUUUAUAAUUUUUUCUUGGAUUUACACUUUCAUGUAAUCGUAAAAUAAUUUCGAUUUUGGUGCAUACGCUUGAUUUAGAAGAAAAUAAUGCGCCGAAAAAGGUGCUUACGUUACCUAAAGUGGCGUAUUUGCGUGAUACAACUGUGACAUAGCUAGCUUAAGGCUAAAUCUCAAAUGAACUUCAAUAUGAGGUAUACGUGAUUUAUAAUUACCCAGUUUGGUGAAUGUGGCCAAGAACAGUAAUUUUCCUCUAAAUAAGUAGCAUUUGAACAUUUCUUGCACUCUUUAAGCCUAAAAUUGAUGAUCAAUUAAAUUAUAUUCUUAGUGCACAAGCACAGCGCACUCUGGUGAUUCGCGCACUGUCCUCAAACGUGCAGUACUUUCUCAUAACAAGCAGGUUGUUGAACAUUCAGUAUCAACUUCAUGUAAAGAUAGGACCAUAUGCACUUAAAAUGUGGAUUUUAUUAAGGUACUACUUAGUCAUGGUUCUUGCGACAUUUACUUAUUUGAGACAGUUUGAUCUAAAGACCAUUUUAUAAAUGCGACCCCUGGUCUCUGAGGUCAUAUCAACACUGAUGCAGAAACACUAUUCGUAGUGUUUCUGUCUAACAAAUAGCCUACAUUUGAGAAAUAAUUAGCCUGACUAAAUCAGCAUGGCCGGAAUGUAUAGACUUGAAUGAGAUACUUUUGCUGGGGAAACACAGUUUGCUGUUAGAAGUGAUGUUGGCGAGCCAGUAAGAGGCAGUCUUCUAUCUGGUCUAACGGUGUAUGUGCGCGAGAGAGGAGGGGUGAAAGAGAGGGAGAGAGAUAGAGAAAGCGGGAGUGCUCACGGGACAGCAAAGCGGUCGGAUCCCGGAGUAGCGAAGAUGGAGGUCCGACCAGACAGAUUUAAGGCGGUUGCAGCAAAGACUCUGGGAAAAAUACACAGGUAGGCCUACCUUUAAACUUCCAUAUAAUUUAGAUGGCUACUUUUAGAUGUACUGUGCACACUCUGAAACAAAAUAGCUUCCAAUUGGAUUCCUCCCUCACAUGCAGAUAUAGGAAAUUUCACGUUUAACUUCAAAGUUAUACCGCCUAGGCUAUUGUAUCCUGUGAAUUUCUGUAGAAUUGACCGCUCGAUGACAGAAAUGAUUUUAUUAAAGUAUCGUGGAUAUGCUC